CCUACGGGUUGCAGCAGUGGGGAAUAUUGGACAAUGGGCGCAAGCCUGAUCCAGCCAUGCCGCGUGUGUGAAGAAGGCCUUUUGGUUGUAAAGCACUUUAAGCGGGGAGGAGGGCACUUAGGUUAAUACCCUGAUGUGUCGGACGUUACCCGCAGAAUAAGCACCGGCUAACUCUGUGCCAGCAGCCGCGGUAAUACAGAGGGUGCGAGCGUUAAUCGGAAUUACUGGGCGUAAAGCGCGCGUAGGCGGUUUGUUAAGUCGGAUGUGAAAUCCCCGAGCUCAACUUGGGAAUUGCAUUCGAUACUGGCAAGCUAGAGUAUGGGAGAGGAAGGUAGAAUUCCAGGUGUAGCGGUGAAAUGCGUAGAGAUCUGGAGGAAUACCGAUGGCGAAGGCAGCCUUCUGGCCUAAUACUGACGCUGAGGUGCGAAAGCAUGGGGAGCAAACAGGAUUAGAUACCCGGGUAGUC
rnacentral:rRNA from 1 species